rnacentral:tRNA from 1 species
GGGCGGGUGAUCUAGCCUGGUUAUGAUGCCACGCUCACACCGUGGUUGGACAUGCCCGCUGAGCACGUUCAACGAUUGUCGAGAGUUCGAAUCUCUCCCCGCCCACCA